rnacentral:lncRNA from 1 species
GGGUACAUGAGGUAAAAAGAGGGGAGCCUUCCAGGACCUUGAGAACUAGCCUGUUUUAGCCAGUCUGAUUCUUGGAAAGAGCAGCAAAGUCGGGCAGGCAGUCAGACAUGACAGGUUAACUAGGCAUGGUGGUCCAGGCCUGUAAUUCCAGCUACGAGGGAGACUCAGGCAGGAACGUCACAAGUGCAAAUCCUAUUUGAGCUACAGAGUGAAGCGAAGAAGAGUCUGAGCAACUUAGUUAAGGUUCUGAAUCUAAGAGUAAAAGCAAGAGCUAGGGAGAUGGCUCAGCUGGUAAAGUGCUUACGUCAUAGGAAUGAAUGUAUGAAUGAGUUAACUCCCAGCAUCCCUGGUUAAAGACCAUCACUGGGGAGGCAGAGGCAGAGGCAGAGGCAGAGGCAGAGGCAGAGGCAGAGGCAGAGGCAGAGGCAGAGGCAGAGGCAGAGGCAGAGGCAGAGGCAGAGGCAGAGGCAGAGGCAGAGGCAGAGGCAGAGGCAGAGGCAGAGGCAGAGGCAGAGGCAGAGGCAGAAGCAUCCCUGGGGUUUUCUGGCCGGCCAGUCAAGCCAAAUGAGUAAGUUCCAGGUUCAGGGAUAGACUAUAAUUCAAAAAUAAUAAGUAGAUGAAUUAAAAAGGUAGAGAGUGAUUGGGGAAGCUAUCUACUGCUGACCUCUGGCAGACACACGUGUGCUCGCCUCAAGCUGCUUCUCCCUGUCACUUAGCACUCACCUCUGGAGAUCCCACCAUACACAGACACACACACACAAUACACAUAGACACACACAGACACAUACAUAUACCUACACAUGCACACUAUCACACAUAUACAUACACACAUAUGUAUACACAUGCACACACAUGCGUACAUAUACACACAAACACAUGCACACACACACACACACACACACACACACACACAAACAUUUUUAAAGUAAGAGGAGAGCUAGGGAACGUGCUCAGUAAUAGAACAGUCGCCUAAGAUGCAUGAGGUCCUAGAUUCCGUUUCUGGAAUUUAAUAAGAAAGAAAAGAAAGGGAGAAGACUGGGUAAGGUUAGAGAUUAUGAGAAAAAGAUGAGGGGAUGAAAAGAUGAGGGGACAGAUGUGAUCGAGAGUAGGGUGGCUUAUGAUGAAUUGACUUGAGGGGACAAGGACAAGGACAGAUCCUAGAAUUGUGAUCUUCCCACUGAGCAGCAAAUGACCGAC